GCAGGAAGACUGACAAAACACCAGAUUGACUGUUUUUCAGUUCUGAUUAGACGCUAGUGUUGAGAUGGCUGUCUGUCAUGAUAGCAUGUACUGAGUUGGGGCCAGUACCAGAUAAACACAUUAAACUAUAAUCCAUAAACGUAAGGUAACAACCGAGACCUUAUGGUGCUGUGACAGCAACGCGAUUGAGUUUGAGACAGUGAAAAUACACAUGGUAUGUUGUAUCUGAACAGGUUAGCUUACGAGCUAAAGUUACUUAGCACAGAUGAAAGUUAAAACAAAGACGUUUAGCAAACUGUUAAAGCACACAAACCAUCGUCAUAUGAGAAAUCCGACGCUAUGACUCUCCACAAGUUGUCCUUCAGGUCGUUAUCUUUGUAAUAUUUGUGUUUUUUUAUCAAAAAGCACUCUGUUCUGCGACACGUAAACAAACAGC
rnacentral:lncRNA from 1 species